UACGUAGGGUGCAAGCGUUGUCCGGAAUUAUUGGGCGUAAAGAGCUCGUAGGCGGUCUGUCGCGUCUGCUGUGAAAACUCAGGGCUUAACCCUGAGCUUGCAGUGGGUACGGGCAGACUAGAGUGCGGUAGGGGAGACUGGAAUUCCUGGUGUAGCGGUGAAAUGCGCAGAUAUCAGGAGGAACACCGGUGGCGAAGGCGGGUCUCUGGGCCGAUAUCGACGCUGAGGAGCGAAAGCGUGGGGAGCGAUCCGG
rnacentral:rRNA from 1 species